UCCUUUCCUUUCUCGGGAGGGAAGCAGGCGUUGGUCUUGUGCGGGACCUGACCCACCUGACGUCUUUGUGGUCAAAUUAACUCUUUGAUUUUAUUUUUCACGUCUAAUAUUUUGCAUCGGUUCUCGUAGUGCUGGCAUGAGCACUUUCCAUUGUUAUCGUGAAAGGCUGAAAUCCACUGGUUGUGGCUUGUUCGAAAUGAAGGUUUACGGGGUAUAACAUGAUUUCUUCUUCGUGACACCAAAUGCAGGCCACGCUCGCGUUUGAUGCGUCAAUGCUUUUGUUAUGUGAAGUAGGCACUGAUUUAAACGAGAGACUUUUAAUUAUCAUCAAGGAAUAUUUGGGCCGAAUGCUGUAUUUUAUUCUACUGCACAUUAAUUAGACUUGAAGCAAAUUUUGGCAUAAUAUAGAUGUCAAGUUAGUCUACAAUAACUAUCAGUCUAUCACGAUGUUCUUGGCUUCAAAUGUUUCUUGAUUUUGAACAUGCAGGAUUUUUGCAGAGGCAAUACAUAUGACCUAGUCAUACAGUUUCGUUACCAACAAUAGAAAUAUGAUAAAUUAAUUGUGGCCGAGUGUUAGCCUCAACUAUCUAGUGGACAAAUAGUAGUCCACAUAUUUAGCCAUUCUACCAUUUUUCCACCGUAAAGGUUUAUUUAUGAAGCCAGCAAUUUUCACAUCAUUUAGAUACCAUGGGAAUGAAUUUAUUCCAACAAACAAAACAAAAUGUGUACCCCGAUUUUAUUGUGUCACUUUCUUGUUUUUCUUGAUGCACCCAAAUGAUUUUUUUUU
rnacentral:lncRNA from 7 species